rnacentral:lncRNA from 1 species
AUAGGGGGAAAAUGACUUGUAGAUCUAUAAAUGACAGUAACAUAAGUGUUGUAAUCUAGGGUUCUCUUGUUUAAUAUGGUAUGUAAAUUGGUACAGUCAUGGAAAACAGUAUGGAGAUUCCCCCAAAAAUAAUAAUAGAACAAUUAUGUGAUCCAGCAAUCCCAUUUCUGAGUAUGUGUCCAGAGAAAUUGAAAUUGAUAUGUCAAAGAGAUAUCUGCACUCUGAUUAUUGAUUUAUUAUGAAAAUUACAAAAUCAUGUUAUAGUUUGUUAUAACAGUUCUGUGUUUCAGCUGUGGCAAGAUUAGUUACGAGUUCUAAGUAAUUUGUUUCUCCUGGUAUUGUACCAAAGUUUUUGAAUGAUUGACUUAGGGGAAAAUAAAGAGCAGGUUUAUCAUUAUCCCUAUGUCACAUAACUAUAUUUUGCAUAUCCAGAUACUUCCUUAAGUGGUAAAGAGUUAGAUAUACAGGCAGCAAGCAAACAUUUGCACCUAAUCUUGAGAUUACUAAUCAAGUAUCUUGAAAGUGGAGUAAGAGAAAAUUGUAAAACCGCUGUUUUAGACCAUGGAAUAUCCAUCUAAAACAUUAAAGCAAAGGACCCCUUGACGUUGUAUUUUAAAGAGGGAGCGAUACUGUUGAGACAUUUUUCUAAUAGAGAUUUUCUGAAGAUAGUCUGCAUCUUUGAGCCUCUGAACAAUAGAUCCCAACUGUACUACUUAUAAUACUAGAAAGAGUAGUGGAUUAGGUGUCAGAAUAUUCUUAUCUCCAGAACCAGACUAUAAGAUCCUGAAAAACAAGGACAUACAUCUUUGUGAGUGAGUGGGUAACAGAGAGUAUUAUAUUCUGCUGCUUGCUAACCUUGUGAUCUCAGUCUCUUCAUCUCUAAAUUAAUACUCAUACUUUUUUGUUAAUCUCAUAGGAAAAUUAGGUGAGACUUACAUAGGUGGAAAUGUUUUGCAUGCUGUAAAACAACACCAAUAUUUUAAUAUGAAAUAAAGUGAAAUCUAAUGUAGUAAUGAAAUAGAAACUUCAUGUCUAAAUAAAAAAAAAAAUUUUCCAGUCUUUGGAAUGAUUUGAAAAACUAUUUCCUGAACCUUUUAGUGAACACCAUUGUGGGUGACUGACUUUGCUUUUUUUUUUUUCAACUCCCCUUGAUUAUUUACAUUGAUCUCAAAGGCACUUACUGCAAAUCUGCCUCUCAAGUGUCUUACAACAGUAUCUUUUAGUUAUGUUGUAUGUGAUAUAGCACUGAUCAAAGAGAAGAAAAUAUCAGAAAUCCAAAAAUGUAAGGAAUUAAAGGAUUUUACAGUUAUUAGGACUAGCCAUGACUAGAUUUAUCAAGAAAAAGUGUUAAUCGCAAAAUUUGGUGUUUAUUUCUUAACAUUAUGCAAGAAUGAUGUUUAUCUUUGAGGUGGCAAGGGACAGUUCAUUAAAAUACUUGGACAUUUGAGCUAAAUAUGAAUGCAUAAUUUUCUAAAAUUAGGAAGGUGAU